ensembl:rRNA 5S_rRNA 5S ribosomal RNA
GUCUACAGCCAUACCACCCUGAAUGCGCCUGAUCUCGCCUGAGCUCAGAAGCUAAGCAGGGUCGAGCCUAGUUAGUACUUAGAUUUGGGACAGAGAAA